rnacentral:lncRNA from 1 species
AGAUCCCUGAGAAGCUGCUGGCUAAGGUGGGGGGAGAGGGGGAAAAGAGUGGAGGGGCGAAAGGCCACAAGGCUCAGGUAGAAGAAACCAUCCCUGUCACCAGAGUUAUAGUCAGUCAUAGUCGGACUAUACAGGACUAGCUUUAAACUAGCUAGUCCCGCCUAGUCCCUCCUGAAUAUGUUCUGUCUCGUUUGUGUUGACCCUCCCAGUGUCGGAUCAGGGUGAUCUGUGUCGCUCCUUCCUGAUGAUCCAUGAGUCUUGUAGAGAGUAUGGAUCCACACUCAGCCAGUUCGUGGCCUUCCUCCAUGUCUACACCUCCAUUUACAGCAGUAAACAGAGCCAGCUCACUCUGAAACACCUACAGGAGGCCAGUCUGAAGAGCAUAGUGUACGAAUAUGUCU